rnacentral:rRNA from 1 species
UACGUAGGGUCCAAGCGUUAAUCGGAAUUACUGGGCGUAAAGCGUGCGCAGGCGGUUCUGAAAGUCAGCUGUGAAAGCCCCGGGCUUAACCUGGGAAUUGCGGUUGAAACUACAGGGCUAGAAUCUGGCAGAGGGGGGUAGAAUUCCACGUGUAGCAGUGAAAUGCGUAGAGAUGUGGAGGAACACCGAUGGCGAAGGCAGCCCCCUGGGUCAAGAUUGACGCUCAUGCACGAAAGCGUGGGGAGCAAACAGG